UACAGAGGUCCCAAGCGUUGUUCGGAUUCACUGGGCGUAAAGGGCGCGUAGGCGGCUGGGGAAGUCGGCGGUGAAAGCCCGGAGCUCAACUCCGGGUCGGCCGUCGAGACUCCUCGGCUCGAGCUCACUAGAGGCAGAUGGAAUUCCGGGUGUAGCGGUGGAAUGCGUAGAGAUCCGGAAGAACACCGGUGGCGAAGGCGGUCUGCUGGGGUGAGGCUGACGCUGAUGCGCGACAGCGUGGGGAGCAAACAGG
rnacentral:rRNA from 1 species